CGAAAGCCUGACGGAGCAACGCCGCGUGAGGGAUGAAGGCCUCUGGGCUGUAAACCUCUUUUCUCAAGGAAGAAGAUCUGACGGUACUUGAGGAAUAAGCCACGGCUAAUUCCGUGCCAGCAGCCGCGGUAAUACGGGAGUGGCAAGCGUUAUCCGGAAUCAUUGGGCGUAAAGCGUCCGCAGGUGGCUUUGUAAGUCUGCUGUUAAAGCGUGGAGCUUAACUCCAUUUCAGCGGUGGAAACUAUAAAGCUUGAGUGUGGUAGGGGCAGAGGGAAUUCCCGGUGUAGCGGUGAAAUGCGUAGAUAUCGGGAAGAACACCAGUGGCGAAGGCGCUCUGCUGGGCCAUAACUGACACUCAUGGACGAAAGCCAGGGGAGCG
rnacentral:rRNA from 1 species